AGCAUACCCAGUAUUGGAGGCACUGCCUGCCCAGUGACAAUUGUUUAACGGCCGCGGUAUCCUGACCGUGCAAAGGUAGCAUAAUCAUUUGUUCUCUAAAUAGGGACUUGCAUGAAUGGCUACACGAGGGUUUAACUGUCUCUUACUUCCGAUCAGUGAAAUUGACCUUCCCGUGAAGAGGCGGGAAUACCACAAUAAGACGAGAAGACCCUAUGGAGCUUUAAUUACUUAACCCAAAUUUAUGGCCAACACCCACCUACCAGGCAUAAAAUACUACCAUUAUUAUGGGUUAACAAUUUAGGUUGGGGUGACCUCGGAACAUAAAAAAACUUCCGAGUGAUUAAAAUUUAGACCUACCAGUCAAAAUGUAGUAUCACUUAUUGAUCCAAUUAUUUUUGAUCAACGGAACAAGUUACCCUAGGGAUAACAGCGCAAUCCUAUCCAAGAGUCCAUAUCGACGAUAGGGU
rnacentral:rRNA from 1 species